AACGAACGCUGGCGGCAGGCCUAACACAUGCAAGUCGAGCGGACCCUUCGGGGUUAGCGGCGGACGGGUGAGUAACGCGUGGGAACGUGCCCUUUGCUUCGGAAUAGCCCUGGGAAACUGGGAGUAAUACCGGAUACGCCCUUUUGGGGAAAGAUUUAUCGGCGAAGGAUCGGCCCGCGUUGGAUUAGGUAGUUGGUGGGGUAAUGGCCUACCAAGCCGACGAUCCAUAGCUGGUUUGAGAGGAUGAUCAGCCACACUGGGACUGAGACACGGCCCAGACUCAUACGGGAGGCAGCAGUGGGGAAUCUUAGACAAUGGGGGAAAACCUGAUCUAGCCAUGCCGCGUGAGCGAUGAAGGCCUUAGGGUUGUAAAGCUCUUUCACCGGGGAAGAUAAUGACGGUACCCGGAGAAGAAGCCCCGGCUAACUCCGUG
rnacentral:rRNA from 1 species